UACGUAGGUGGCAAGCGUUAUCCGGAUUUACUGGGUGUAAAGGGCGUGUAGGCGGGAGAGCAAGUCAGACGUGAAAUUCCAGGGCUCAACCCUGGAACUGCGUUUGAAACUGUUCUUCUUGAGUGGUGGAGAGGCAGGCGGAAUUCCGUGUGUAGCGGUGAAAUGCGUAGAUAUACGGAGGAACACCAGUGGCGAAGGCGGCCUGCUGGACAUUAACUGACGCUGAGGCGCGAAAGCGUGGGGAGCAAACAGG
rnacentral:rRNA from 1 species